rnacentral:tRNA from 3 species
CGGGGCGUAGCGCAGUCUGGUUAGCGCACUUGUUUUGGGAACAAGGGGUCGUGAGUUCGAAUCCCACCGCCCCGACCA